UCGUUUCAUGCCUUUUUGGAGGGAGUGUUUUCUUUACCUUGCCCUCCACCCUGCCCAUUCUGAUUCCAUUCUGUAAUUUUGCCACUUCAUUGGUUUGGCUAUUGUUGGAACUAAGGUUGGAGCUGACCAUGUGUGACUCUAGCUAGCUCAUGUGUCCUGGGGAACAGAAGGGAUUAACUCAUUGCUGUCCUGGAUGUCUCCUGCAUGAAGGGAAAUCCACGGUAAGCAACCAGUCCUGAUCUGCUGUCGGUGCUUAGGAUUCUUUCCGCACCACCAGCCCUAAGCUUUUCUUGUAAUUUUAUAAAUAAACCAAGUGUCAAUAGACACCACAAGACUCUGGUGUUCUUUCUCAUCCAAAGGAAACCGAACCCUGCAGCACCACCCCUGGAACUUAUCAUCGCUCAGAGAUAUGAGGCGUGUGCAACGUACAAUAUAAGCAAGACAUAGAAAGGAGGUGCCUUUGAUUGAAACCAGAUGAGGAAAUAGCUUGAGGAGCAGAUGUUCCUGAGCAUCUGUUCCAUGGGUUUAGAAAUCAAGGAAGGGCAAGUGUCCUUUCCCCUAAUCUUGUUAACACGGCAUAACAUUCCUUGUUAAAACGAAUUGCUUGGCUACUGAGUCUUAUACUGCACCAGGGAGACAGGUUUAAGCAGUGUUCAAAGGUGAUGGUGGAAGAAAUGGGACGAUUUCAUUUCAAAUUUGUCCAGACUUCAUUUAGCCCGUGGUCUGCUGACUGUUUUUAUAUCCCUCUGAACUGCUUGUUAAGAAAGUUGAAUUAGUACCUUUGUAUUUUGAAAUUAGUCAGUUUUUCUUGCCAUGAAAAGAACAGCAUUACUGUAAGGUAAAGGUAAAGGGACCCCUGACCAUUAGGUCCAAUCGUGGCCGACUCUGGGGUUGCGGCACUCAUCUCGCUUUAUUGGCCGAGGGAGCCGGCAUACAGCUUCCAGGUCAUAUGGCCAGCAUGACUAAGCUGCUUCUGGCGAACCAGAGGAGUGCACGGAAAUGCCAUUUACCUUCCCGCCGGAGCGGUACCUAUUUAUCUACUUGCACUUUGAUGUGCUUUUGAACUGCUAGGUUGGCAGGAGCUGGGACCGAGCAAUGGGAGCUCACCCCGUCGCAGGGAUUCGAACCGCCAACCUUCUGAUCAGCAAGUCCUAGGCUCUGUGGUUUAACCCACAGCGCCACCCGCGUCCCUAGCAUUACUGUAGGGGGCCUAUUUCCACCUUCUAGCCGUGACCAGGUAAUGGCAGUUGUGCGGCAAGCAGGCAAGCACUUGGCUGGACAGCCGCCUCCUUCCUUCCAAGAUUUAAGCUCAACACAGACUCUAUUGGGUUUGGGUUUUCAACUGCUGAAGGUAACAAAAAGCCAUCCUUGCAAGUGUUUGCCCCUCUCAGUUCAACAAGAAGCCCUGACCUGGAUUGACUGACUUAAAAAAAAAAAACACAACCCAAAAAAACCAGUGCUGCAUAACUCUGCUCUGUACAACAUUUUGACAUCCACUGACAAGUGGAAUGGCUCAAGAACCAUCUAAAAAAGAGCAAGAUUGCAUCCCACCUUUCCGUACAACCCGCUUUGAGCCAUGCGUAUAAGCCAUUCUUGCUUUUAGCAGGUGACAUAAGAAGUGGAGCUCACAUCCUCUGUAACUUGUAGCACUGUAGAAGGAGUGAGAUGGAAAAGAGAAGCUAAAACAAGUGUUUGCUGUUAAACGUAGCGCUGUACUGAAAACAUCUUACACUUUCUCACCAAUCAUUACCAAUGAGCAAAGGAAACGCUUUUUAAAAUGAUCAUACAGGAGAGAAAUUUUUUGAUGAAAUUCUCAAGGUAUUUCAAAACAAAAAGUGGAACACCUUCUGUUGCACUUACAUUACAUACAGUAUACAGUGGUACCUCAGGUUAAGAAUUUAAUUCAUUCUGGAGGUCCGUUCUUAACCUGAAACUGUUCUUAACCUGAAGCACCACUUUAGCUAAUGGGGCCUCUCGCUGCUGCCGAGCCACCGCCGCAUGAUUUCUGUUCUCAUCCUGAAGCAAAGUUCUUAAUCCAAGGUACUGUUUCUGUGUUAGCGGAGUCUGUAACCUGAAGCGUCUAUAGCCUGAGGUACCACUGUAAAUCAGCAUGUGCAAUAGUUGUGCAAAUCUCUCUCUUUUUGUAAUGCAAUAAAAUGUUGCAGUAUAUCCUCCUUCCAUCCUUACAGGAGUGCUUCUGUUCCAGCCAGAGCAUUUUACCCCCUCUAUUUUAUGUUUGCUUUCAACAGGCUCACAACAUUCUAGUCCUCACUGAGUAGGGUUUGGGGGGGUUUAUUUUUUUUUUGCCACCUUAGUUCUUUUUUAAUUUAAUAAAAAAUUGGGUUGGGGUUUUGUUUUGGUACUUCUGCAAACUUUGGGGUUCUUCUGAGCAUUCUGAUCCAUUCUCCUUCAUUCUCAGGGGUCCUGUUUUGUUUACUUUCCUGUGUUCAUUAUUACAAGGAGUUAGCCCACGUUUGAGAUGAUGCUUCCAGGUCUGCUGCAGGUGAGCUUGCAAUUUCAGCUGAAACUGAAGACCAGUCCUGUUCACUUCCAUGCAACUUCUAGGUGUGGCAGUGAAAACCUAAUUACUUAUUUUGUAAAAAUGUGCUGCUCGUACUCCUGCUCCUUUAGGCUCAGUUGACUGACUUGCUGGCAGGUUUUGUGGCUUGGCUCAACCCCAGGUACACUCCACAAUAAAAUAAAUUACUGUUGUUUAAUCACUGAAGUAAAUUACCCACAGAAAAUUAUUGUGUCACCAUAAUAGAUUCUCUCCUUGAAGAAUAGCACCUUAGAAGAAUGCUUUCAAUAAUUCCCCCCACAAGUUAUGGUGUGUCAUAAUUUAGCUAUUAUGGUUACAGAAGCGAUAACAACAGCUUUAAUAUUUCACGGUGUUUUUACAGUGUCUUGAAGGAUCCAUUUAAAAACCUAUUAUGAAUAUUUUGUAAGCAGUUGUGGUAUUUACUUUCCUCUGUCCCUAGCCCAGCAGGUACUUGUCUCAAAUAUGAGCCACGGAAACAUCCAAAGCCAUGCAUCUUACAGGUCUGAAAACUGAGCACCACACAUUUUCAGAAGGCCAUAUGGUUGAGGGAAGGUCCAGAUGUGUACUUUUGGGUAACUAGAAAGGCUGAUUAGGGAAAGUGGAAACAAGAUUGACAAAAGGAUAUAGGCAGGAAGACCAGCUGCACAAAUAUAGGAUGGGUGAAUCGCUAGUUUGCCAGUAGUACAUGUGGAAAGGAUCUAGGGGUUGUAGUAGACCACAAGCUUAGCAUGUCAACAGUGUGAUGCAGCAGCAAAAAAAAGCUAAUGCUAUUCUAGGCUGUGUCAACAGAAGUAUAGUGUCCAGAUCAAGAGAUGUAAUAGUACUACUUUAUUCUGCUUUGAUCAGACCACACUUGGAGUACUGUGUCCAUUUCUGGCUGCCACAAGUUAGGAAAGAUAUUGAAAAGCUGGAACGUGUGCAGAGGAGGGCAACUAAGGUGAUCAAGAGUCAGGAGACUAAGCCUUAUGAGGAAUGAUUGAAGGAGCUGGGUAUGUUUGGCCUAGAAAAGAGGGGAUAGCCAUCUUCAAGUAUUUAAAGGGCUAUCACAUGGAAGAUGGAGCAAGCUUGUUUUCUCCUGCUUUGGAGGGUAGAACUCAAACCAAUCGCUUCAACUUUACAAGAGAAGAGAUGUUGAAAAAACAUCAGAAGAACUUUCUGGUGGUAAGAGCUGUUUGACAAUGGAACAGACUCCCAUGAGAGACAGUAAGGUCUUUUAAGCAGAGGUUGGAAGACCACCUGUCAUGGAUGCUUUAGUUGAGAUUCCUGCAUUGCAGGGUGUUGGACUAGAUGACUCUUGGCGUCUCUUCCAACUCAAGAAUUCUAUGAUUUUGGAAAGAGUACUAUUUACCUUGCUCACACUAGGCAGGGUAGUUGCUGAUCUUCUUGUUUCUGUUAUCUAUUGCUCAGUUCAGCUUCUGGUUGUCUCACUAACGACAUUGUGGGGCAGGCUUGCUUUUUACAAUUCUCACUAACUCUCAGUCUUGCAGAUGGUUUCUCAAGAUGAAGAUGGGCAGAAUACUCUCACAGGAGUUGCAAAGGCUGCUGUGUGUGUCUCGGAUGAGCUAUUUUGAGCUAUUUUGGACUGCAUAUCUGUCCCACACAAGGUAGGCAUGGCUGUGCAGAUAACACUGCCUGUAUUACCUGCAGCAAUCAAAAUGUUCCUUUGGCCACAUGUACUUUUCCACCAGCUGUUCUGUACUUCUCCCUAUUCCAUAUCUCUGUUGAAGUCACCACAUAAACACAUCACUGGCCCACAUCUGUGUCGAAUAAACACAAAAGUUCAAACCGCAUUCACUCGACCCAUAUCUUAGUAUCAAGAAGUGGUCAAGGUGUGACAGAGCUUCCAGUUUUGCAAAAUGAAAUGCUGGAGCAUAUGAUUAUUUUGAGAGUCAUUGUUCGAGCCUCUAGCAUAUAUUUUAUUACAUCAAUGAAUGAAAGACUCAUUUGCAAAUCUGAAGUGGCUGUUUGUGUGAGAUACUUCUAAUUUGCACAGGGUUUCACUGCACUUAGAAUAUUUCUAAGUGACAGUUUGGGUUGCUUAUGAUGUUGAGCCAGUUCAAUUAUAUCUUUGGUUGUGGGUCUGUAAUGAGGACAUUAAUUCAACUUCUGAUUUCCCUGGCUUACAUGAUGCGUUGCUGAAUGAAGGACACAAAACUGCAAAAUGCAGGUGUUCACAAGUGCUUUAUUAUUCAGUACCAACAUAUAACAAAAUAGGCACAUAUCUUAGUCUAAAUAAAGCUACAGAUGCUUUGCAAGCAUUUAUACAUUUCAACAAUGUUCACUAUUAACCUGCUACAAUAUAUUUAUCACAGCUGCUAUGUUAACCAGACGUAGGGUGAACUCUAUUACGGAAGCUGUCUGACCUUGUUUAGAUUAUUAGUUAUGUUCAAGCAACACCCUUUUUCAGCUGACAUCACUUUAUAAAUUGCUACUUCUACAGCAUAAGCAAGGAAAGACAUCUAUGAGCCCUUUCGGAUUUCUGCUGGAACCU